UAUUGCUGCAGGUGUUGGUGCCAUCAUGGCUGAGUAUUCAGACGCAAUGGAAGAACUGUGCGACCUGAUGGACUUCCUAACAUUCGAAGAUCUGCCAUCACCUGAUGAACUUGGAAGUGACAUGGCGCCCCAGAAAUCUGAGGCCAGAGGUGCAAAGAAAUGAACAAAUGGAGUGAGUCCAUUGAGCACUCAACCAGCCCACCCAGUGCAAAACAUAUCACCUGGGAUCAGUACUGUGCCCAGACCCUGUGCCGCCCCUCAGGACCUGAGGGAGCUUCUUAAUGCGCGCCGGAGCCGAGGCAAUGAUGGGAAUUAUAUUAUGGACCUCAGGGACAUCCUGAGAGGCAAGAAAAAGAUCAAAAGCAACAAUGACCGACACAUUGCCUUUGGCCGGAACAGAGGCAUUGAGAACAUCAGAAGCUGUGCCACCAUUCAGGACCUGAGGGAUGUCCUCACUGCACGGCGCAGAGGCCGCAAUGGACCAUGCAAGAGCAGACGCCAGGGAAGACGUUAUGCCCCUUGGUAGAAGACGCGUAGAGGAAAGCGAUCCAGCAUAAACUGAAACAUCUGCUGUAAAUCUACGCGCUAUGCAAAGCCUAUACCACCGGCUGUCAUCAUGUGAUGUAUCCAGUACAAAGCCUAUACCAUCGGCUGUCAUCUUAUGUUAUAUACAGGCUCUCUAUAACUCCAGUCUACAGUCAGUUAUUAGAUUGCCACCGAAUUCUCUGUAACUUUAAGACGUUCUUAAUAUUUGGCGACUUUCUGAUAGGUAGUACUUGUAUAAACCUACCACCGGCUGGAGUACCAUCUUGUACAAUACUGUAUAUAUAACGUGUACCAUCUGCUGGAAAACCA